rnacentral:rRNA from 1 species
AUCUAUAGCCAUGCCACCCUGAACACGCCGAUCUCAUCUGAUCUUGGAAGCUGCGCAGGGUCAGACCUGGUUAGUACUUGGAUAGGAGAACAUCUAGGAAUACCAGGUGCUGUAGGCG